rnacentral:lncRNA from 1 species
AAAUAUAUUUACCAUACUAUGAUUACUGGUAACCUUUAGGCUUAUUGAAUUACUUGUAAUAUGAUAUCUGUAAUGCCAGGUAUUAUCAUUUAAAAUAAAAUCUCAAGAACCUGAUAUAAGAAAAAUGACAACUGUAAUUACCAUAUAAUAUUUUUUUCCAGAAGUGCAGAGACUCUUUCCUGUAUUUCAUUAGGAUAAAGUUAUCUGAAAUCGUGCCUUUUAUCUGGGGUAUGGAGAAAAGAAUUUACAGAACACAAUGCCUAAACACUAUCCUUGCCCUUGGUCUUCCUUUUGUAUAUCAACUCUAUCUAAACCAGGGAUCUAUUGUCAAUGUAUUGGCCAUUAAGGGAUAACAAGUCAUCGCUGAGCACUCAGAAAUGAAUGGUAAUUCCAGGUGCACCAUUCUGUUGUCCUACACCUUUGGAGUGGUUUUGCUUAGAAAGGAUGAAACAAUUCAGCUGUCAUUUUAAUAUAAAAGACUUUUUAGGACACAGGGUGUUUUGAGGUGAUGCCUUGACUUGCAUUAUAAAAAUACUGACAGCUAUCAAAAUGUCAACUUGCAUCUCCUUUGUUGCAGACUUGAUACCAAAGUGUUGGAUAUUUACUUACCAAGAAUGAAAUGGGCUAUAUAUUCUCAGUGCCCCCAAAAAGAAUAUGUGAAUAAAAAUGAAAAAGUGCAAGAGUGAAAUUAUAGGAUUUGUCUGUGCUCUGCUGUCUUAACGGGAGGCAGGAGCAUGGUCCUUAUCUGCUCUCUCAUAUCAAGGGGAUAAAAGAAUCUUGGCUUAUAACUUAAAUUUUAGUGGUUUUAUAUCAGUCGUUGUACUUUUUAGAGUUUCACUUUCUUUAUUAGAACUGAGGUGGACCUCAGGGAUCUGCCAAAGUUCUUUUGGUGUUGUUGUUACUUUGUUUUUGAAAAUCAUAGAAUAAUUCUCUAAUGACAUAUAGCAAUCUUUUGGCAUGGCUUGACCUGUCCAGAUUUUUCCGGCACCCAUCCUAGAAUUUUCAGGUUUUUUUCACAUCUCCUCUUAAUGACACUUUUCUUAGAGAAAGUUUUCCCACAGCCCGCCAAGCUCAGUAAAGUUUCAUUAUUACAUGCUGUCAUAGAAUAGCAUUCUUUACCUGCAUUGCACGUUUAUCAACUUUUCAUUAUGCAUUUAUUUUAGGGUUACUUAAUCAGUACCAGCUUCUCUUAUUUGACUCUAGACGUCACAACAUCUGGAAACUUAUCUUUCUGCUCAUUUUUGUAAUAGUGCCCUGUAUUAUUAGACUAAAUUUAGUUUCUCAGUAAUGUUUAUUAAAUGACAAGAUGAAUAAAUAAUGUUUCUUUUUUUAACUUCUCUGAGCC